rnacentral:lncRNA from 10 species
UCCAAGACCAUUUCACUUCCUCCUUUCUCUGCAAGUCUCCAACACCUGUUCCCCAGUUCCCAUUCUCAGAUGAGACCUUGCUUCCUAAGUCAUCACAAAACCCAAGGCCCUCAAAAGAGAAGCUGCACCAGGCCCCACCACAGAGGCACACAUGCCUGCACCUGGACCGCUGCUCAGCCUUCCCUGGGGUCCCUCCAGUAUUCUCAGCAAGCUUUGUCCCCGCCUUCUGCAAAAGCUGUCUUGCUGGUCAGCAGUGACAUCCAUGCUGCUAAAGCCAGUGGAAAUGCUGGGCCUCAUCUUCCUAGAAGCUGCACUUGACCAUGGCCUCCCCAGGCUCUCGUGCCCGCGUUCAGCCCUCACCACCUACCUGUAAGCCGUUGGCGAAUACAUGUUGGCCAUGCAAGCUCCUUGCACACACCAGCUGCGUCCCACCUGUGUGCCUCUUGGACGUGCCUGGAAGCUCUGUAGUGCAUCGCUGCUCUCCCCCAGUCCUACCUCGGUGCUGCCCAGAGAGCUCCGCCUGGUCCCCAUUCACCUGCUAUCUCGUUCCUCCCAUGCCACAUUUUUUCUCCUUAGCCCUCACUCUCUAGCAUACCCCUGUUAGUUUUGUAUAGUGCCUGUCUCUGCCCACUAUAAUGCGAGCUCUGUGAGCAUAGGGUUUAUCUGUUUCUUUCUUUGCCGUAGGCCCAGCACUAAUAACAGGGUCUGUAUCUGUUUGUGGAAGAGACUUGCUGAGAAAGCAUGCUUUACAAAGUUCUGUGUGUUUACAGCUGUGUCCUGAUCAGCUCCCAGGCCAGUACCUCAUCAUCGUGAGUCUGUUCUACAUGAGAGUCCCGCACCGUCUGAAUGCGCUGUGUCUGGCCUGGAUGCUGCACCCUGAUUCCUCAGGGUAACAGUCAUUCACCUUUGGCUGCUCAGCCUCCAAGCCACACGCCAUGGUCAGCCUCGGCCACUAUCACAGCUGGUCCUGGAGGCUGCAGGGCUCCCUCUCUUGGACCCAGUACUCCCACUACUCCCUCCCCAACUGAUAUGGUUUGGCUGUGUCUCCAUCCAAGUCUCAUCUUAAAUUGUAGUUCCCAAAAAUUGCACGUGUUGUGGGAGGGAGUUGUGGGAGAUAAUUUAAUCCUGGGGGGCGGUUUUCCCCAUACUGUUCUCGUGUUAGUGAAUAAGUCUCACCAGAUGUGGUGAUUUCAUAAGUGGUCUCCCCUUUUGCUUGGUUUUCAUUCUCUCUCGUCUGCGCCAUGUAAGAUGUGCCUUUGGCUUUCCACCAUGAUUUUGAGGCCUCCCCAGCCACGUGGAGCUGUGAGUUAAUUAAAUCUCUUUUUUUUAAAUAAAUUACCCAGUAUCAUGUAUGUCUUUAUUAGCGUGAGAACAGACUAAUACACCAACUACACGCACACACUACUGUGGCCUCCUGGACUUCUGAGUCCCA